CCAGACACUAUGAGGAUUGACAAGUCGCGAGCUUUUUCUUGAUUUGGUGGUCGGUGGGGCAUGGCCGUUCUUAGCUGGUGGAGCGAUCUGUCUAGCUGAUUCCGAUAACGAACGAGACCGCAGCCUGCUAAUUAGUGCGCUGGUUCACUGCACCUGCACCACCUGUCACGAGCUGGUGGGUCCCACUCUCAUCCCUGCUUUUCUGUUCGCGUGCCCUACGCCUCCAGUGCUUCUCUCCUCUGGCCUUCUGCUUCCUUUCUCCCUCGCUCUCUCUCACGCCAUUGUGUCUUGGGUGAGGGAGACUGGAUGACUAGCUGUCUGGUUGGGUGAAGUAGUGGUGGUGGGAGAGAGUAAAUUGCGGAGGAGGUGUAGGAUUGGGCCUGAAGUUCGUGGUCGGUUAGUCCAGCGUUGGCCUCCGGGUGUGGCGCGGUUGCCUACUUCUUAGAGGGAUAAGCAGGAGAAGCCGCACGAAGUAGAGCAAUGACAGGUCUGUGAUGACUUAGGUAUCCAGGGCCGCACGCGCACUACAAUG
rnacentral:ncRNA from 1 species